UGGGAACGCGAAGAACCUUACCUAGACUUGACAUCUCCUGAAUUACCCUUAAUCGGGGAAGCCCUUCGGGGCAGGAAGACAGGUGGUGCAUGGUUGUCGUCAGCUCGUGUCGUGAGAUGUUGGGUUAAGUCCCGCAACGAGCGCAACCCUUAUUGUUAGUUGCUACCAUUUAGUUGAGCACUCUAGCGAGACUGCCCGGGGUUAACCGGGAGGAAGGUGGGGAUGACGUCAAAUCAUCAUGCCCCUUAUGUCUAGGGCUACACACGUGCUACAAUGGCUGGUACAGAGAGAUGCUAAACCGCGAGGUGAAGCCAAACUUUAAAACCAGUCUCAGUUCGGAUUGUAGGCUGAAACUCGCCUACAUGAAGCUGGAGUUGCUAGUAAUCGCGAAUCAGAAUGUCGCGGUGAAUACGUUCCCGGGUCUUGUACACACCGGGUC
rnacentral:rRNA from 1 species